GCGUGAGUGAUGAAGGCCCUAGGGUUGUAAAGCUCUUUUACCCGAGAUGAUAAUGACAGUAUCGGGAGAAUAAGCUCCGGCUAACUCCGUGCCAGCAGCCGCGGUAAUACGGAGGGAGCUAGCGUUGUUCGGAUUUACUGGGCGUAAAGCGCACGUAGGCGGCAUAGUAAGUCAGGGGUGAAAUCCCGGAGCUCAACUCCGGAACUGCCCUUGAAACUGCUAAGCUAGAAUCUUGGAGAGGCGAGUGGAAUUCCGAGUGUAGAGGUGAAAUUCGU
rnacentral:rRNA from 1 species